rnacentral:lncRNA from 1 species
UGUCUGUGUGUAUUUACAGUGUGUCUGUGUGUAUUAAUUGUGUGUCUGUGUGUAUUAACUGUGUCUGUGUGUAUUAACUGUGUGUCUGUGUGUAUUAACUGUGUGUCUGUGUGUAUUAACUGUGUGUCUGUGUGUCUGUGUAUAUUAACUGUGUGUCUGUGUGUAUUAACUGUGUGUCUGUGUGUAUUAACUGUGUGUCUGUGUGUAUUAACUGUGUGUCUGUGUGUCAUAUUAACAGUGUGUCUGUGUGUGUCUGUGUGUAUUGUCUGUGUGUCUGUGUAUGUUAACAGUGUGUCUGUGUGUAUUUGCGGUGUGUGUCUGUGUGUAUUAAUUGUGUGUCUAUGUGUAUUAAUUGUGUGUCUGUGUGUAUUAAUUGUGUGUCUGUGUGUAUUGUGUGUCUGUGUGUAUUUGCGGUGUGUGUCUGUGUGUAUUUGCGGUGUGUGUCUGUGUGUAUUUGCGGUGUGUCUCUGUGUGUAUUUGCGGUGUGUGUAUUAGCGGUGUGUGUCUGUGUGUAUUUGCGGUGUGUGUCUGUGUAUAUUAAGUGUGUCUGUGUGUAUUAGCGGUGUGUGUCUGUGUGUAUUAACAGUGUCUGUGUGUGUCUGUAUUAACAGUGUCUGUGUAUUAGCGGUGUGUGUCUGUGUAUUAACGGUGUGUGUCUGUGUGUAUUAAGUGUGUCUGAGUGUGUCUGUGUGUAUUAACGGUUGUGUGUGUGUGUGUAUUAACUGUGUGUCUGUGUGUAUUAACGGUGUGUAUCUGUGUGUAGUCCUAUAAACAGUGGACGUCAAUCUGGGUCAUCUGAGAGGUAACGUGUGGGUCUGCCAUCUGUUCUCACUCACUCACUCACUCACUCACUCACUCACUCACUCACUCACUCACUCACUCACUCACUCACUCACUCACUCACUCACUCACUCACCUACC